rnacentral:rRNA from 1 species
UAGAGAUAGAACAUGAUCGGCACACCGGUGACAGGUGGUGCAUGGUUGUCGUCAGCUCGUGUCGUGAGAUGUUGGGUUAAGUCCCGCAACGAGCGCAACCCUUAAUGUUAGUUGCCAUCAUUUAGUUGGGCACUCUAGCGAGACUGCCGGUAAUAAACCGGAGGAAGGUGGGGAUGACGUCAAAUCAUCAUGCCCCUUAUGACCUGGGCUACACACGUGCUACAAUGGCUGGUACAACGAGUCGCAAGUCGGUGACGGCAAGCUAAUCUCUUAAAGCCAGUCUCAGUUCGGAUUGUAGGCUGCAACUCGCCUACAUGAAGUCGGAAUCGCUAGUAAUCGCGGAUCAGCACGCCGCGGUGAAUACGUUCCCGGGCCUUGUACACACCGCCCGUCACACCACGAGAGUUUGUAACACCUCGAAGUCGGUGAGGUAACCUUUCAGGAGCCAGCCGCCUAAGGUGGGCGCGCAGUUUGGUGAAGUCGUAACAAGGUAUGUCUCAGAUAGAG